GAUGAUCCAACCCAAUGCAUAGUUCACACUGAAUUCAAUGUGGAACACUAUCAUCUUGUCUUUCGCUCCUAACUGA
rnacentral:snoRNA from 1 species